rnacentral:lncRNA from 1 species
CCCACCUCAGCCUCCCAAAAUGCUGGGAUUACAGGUGUGACUCACUGCUCCCGGCAGAAAAAUUUCACUACCCACAACUAUCACUAAGUCCAAGCAGUGGGCUCUCAUGAAUGCCCACCCUUUUCCAACAAGCCUGGGGGACAGCGAAGGGUGCUGAAGCACGUGGUGACAGCACCGCUGGAGAGGCAGCGUACCUCUGGGGUUGCACAUCGGCCAGCAACUUGGGACAUCACAAAAGAAAAGAGCCAAGGCAGCUUAAUUUUACACCAAAUUCUUGCCACUAGCAGGAAUAAACGUUUCAGACUCUGGCCAGGCGGUGGGGUAUACCAAAGGGUUCUUUCAGCUUUUAGAUCAUCCCUGAGGUCAGCUUCCUGGGGAACCCUCCUAGGCCCAUCUGCCAUGAAAGACAACGUGUGGGGGACAGAUGUGCUAGGCAGUGCACAGGCAUUAUUUUAACUUUUGAGUGCUUUUAUUCCCUUACUUAUGAGGCUACUGUGUGAAUUACAUAAUUUUUGCUGUUUUAUUGUUUGCUUCCUUUAAUCCUUUAAUCCUGGGUUAUAAUUAUUGUUACAUUGAUCUAUUUAUUUUUCUUUUUCUACUUAUAUGGAACUUAUUCUAAAUAAGAAUUGGGUAAGAUUGGGUAAGAUUUUUUAAAGCCAUUUUUACUACCUUCAUUUAUCUUUAGCCUUCUACCUUUUAUUGGUGAUUUUUUUUUCUCUCUUUUAUUUAAACUACUUUCUUGUUAAUCUUUAUUUUUCAAUGUUCUUUCAUCUUGCAUCCUGUUCAUCUUUACUGUUGACAUUUUGAAAGCGAGUAAAAAGUGAAUUAUGUUUUAUCUGGAUGUGUGGCUGCUAUUGCCAUAAGGCAGGGCUGGGGUGGAAAAAGGGAGAGAAGGGAAGGAAAAGGAGAAUAAAGAAAGACAAACACCCCCAGGGAUCUCUUCCACAUGCUUCAUCCUGCAGAGACCCGUUCCUAGCAUCCUCUGGCCUGAAGGAAUUCUUCGUGGAACUCUUUGGAUUUUCCCAUGUGUGCAAUUCCAUGAUUUGCACUGCUUCAAAGUCUCAACUAGGAGACAUGUGAGGAGAAAGCAACACACAGGAAACUCACUGCUGUCUAAUAAUUUCCCUCCCCAGCCUGCCUGCUAUGAUUUACUCUUCAGAGCCCUGCAUAAUUGCUCUAUGUCUUCUCCCAGGGCUCUGCCUUCACAUGAAUAGGAAACACAGAGCUAAGUAUACGCUCCAUCUCUGCUGGAUCCAGGUGUCCAGGCUUAUCUUUAAUGGAGUUGUGAAAACAAAGGCUGUACCUCCAGGUCAUGGCUUCUCAACAUGGACACUCCUGACAUUUGGGGUUGAAUAAUUCUUUGUUGUAGGGAACCAUCCUGUUCAUCACAGAAUGUUUAGUAGAAUCCUUGGCCUCUACCCACUAGGUGUUAGUAGUACUCCCACAGCUGUGACAUUUAAAAAUGUCUCCAGGCCUGGCUCAGUGGCUCACACCUGUAAUCCUAGUAACUUAGGGAGGUGAGUCUAGGAGUUCAAGAGCAGCCAAGGCAACAUGAUGAAACUCUGUCUCUACAGAAUGUAAACAAAAAUUAGCUGGGUGUGGUGGCACGUGCCUGUGGUCUCAGCUACUCAGGAGGCUGAGGCGGACGGAUCGCUUGAGCCUGUGAGGUCAAGGCUGCAGUGAGCCAUGAUCGUUGCCACUUGCACUCCAGCCUGGGUGACAGAGAGAUCCUGUCUCAAAAAUAACUAACUAACUAACUAACUAAAUAAAUAAGUCUCCAGAUGUUGUCCAAUGUCUCCGGGGGACCACUGGUGCCUGGCUAAGAACCACUGCCCCCAUAGCCACACAGAAGUCAUGCAGGUGGAGCCAAAUGGGAAAGGGUGUCUGUCAACAGAUGAAUGGAUAAAGAAAACAUGGCACACAUACACAGUGGAGUACUAUUCAGAAUGGGAUCCAGUCAUUUGCAACAACAUGGAUGAAACAGGAGGAUAUUAUGUUAAGUGAAAUAAGCCAGGCACAGAAAGAUAACCAUCACAUGUUCUCACUCAUUGGUGGGAGCUAAACACUUAAAACUGAAGGAUGUUUUACCAGAAGGAUGGUUACCAG